rnacentral:rRNA from 1 species
GUUACUCCUUACGGGAGGCAGCAGUGGGGAAUAUUGCACAAUGGGCGAAAGCCUGAUGCAGCGACGCCGCGUGAGGGAUGACGGCCUUCGGGUUGUAAACCUCUUUCAGUAGGGAAGAAGCCCUCUUUGGGGGUGACGGUACUUGCAGAAGAAGCGCCGGCUAACUACGUGCCAGCAGCCGCGGUAAUACGUAGGGCGCAAGCGUUAUCCGGAAUUAUUGGGCGUAAAGAGCUCGUAGGCGGUUUGUCGCGUCUGCUGUGAAAGACCGGGGCUCAACUCCGGUUCUGCAGUGGGUACGGGCAGACUAGAGUGCAGUAGGGGAGACUGGAAUUCCUGGUGUAGCGGUGAAAUGCGCAGAUAUCAGGAGGAACACCGAUGGCGAAGGCAGGUCUCUGGGCUGUAACUGACGCUGAGGAGCGAAAGCAUGGGGAGCGAACAGGAUUAGAUACCCUGGUAGUCCAUGCCGUAAACGUUGGGCACUAGGUGUGGGGGACAUUCCACGUUUUCCGCGCCGUAGCUAACGCAUUAAGUGCCCCGCCUGGGGAGUACGGCCGCAAGGCUAAAACUCAAAGGAAUUGACGGGGGCCCGCACAAGCGGCGGAGCAUGCGGAUUAAUUCGAUGCAACGCGAAGAACCUUACCAAGGCUUGACAUGGACCGGAAAGACCUGAAACCAGGGCCCCCGCUGGC